UUCCUGGUGGCUCAGACGGUAAAGAAUCUGCCUGCAGCGCAGGAGACCCGGGUUCAAUCCCUGGGUGGGGAA
rfam:TPA: Bos taurus chromosome 20, whole genome shotgun sequence.